CCUACGGGUGGCAGCAGUGAGGAAUAUUGGUCAAUGGGCGCGAGCCUGAACCAGCCAAGUAGCGUGAAGGAUGACUGCCCUACGGGUUGUAAACUUCUUUUAUAAAGGAAUAAAGUGAGUCACGUGUGCCUUUUUGUAUGUACUUUAUGAAUAAGGGUCGGCUAACACCGUGCCAUCAGCCGCGGUAAUACGGAGGAUGCGAGCGUUAUCCGGAUUUAUUGGGUUUAAAGGGAGCGUAGAUGGGUUGUUAAGUCAGUUGUGAAAGUCUGCGGCUCAACCGUAAAACUGCAUUUGAUACUGGCAGCCUUGAGUGUGUGUGAGGAAGGUGGAAUUCGUGGUGUAGCGGUGAAAUGCUUAGAUAUCACGAAGAACACCGAUUGCGAAGGCAGCCAACUAACCUGCAACUGACACUGAUGAUCGAAAGUGUGGGUAGCAAACAGGAUUAGAUACCCCUGUAGUC
rnacentral:rRNA from 1 species